rnacentral:rRNA from 1 species
GGAUUAGCUAGUUGGUGGGGUAAAGGCCUACCAAGGCGACGAUCUGUAGCUGGUCUGAGAGGAUGAUCAGCCACACCGGGACUGAGACACGGCCCGGACUCCUACGGGAGGCAGCAGUGGGGAAUAUUGGACAAUGGGGGCAACCCUGACCCAGCCAUGCCGCGUGUGUGAAGAAGGCCUUUUGGUUGUAAAGCACUUUAAGCAGUGAAGAAGACCUAACGGUUAAUACCCGUUAGCGAUGACAUUAGCUGCAGAAUAAGCACCGGCUAACUCUGUGCCAGCAGCCGCGGUAAUACAGAGGGUGCAAGCGUUAAUCGGAAUUACUGGGCGUAAAGCGAGCGUAGGUGGCUUGAUAAGUCAGAUGUGAAAUCCCCGGGCUUAACCUGGGAACUGCAUCUGAUACUGUUGGGCUAGAGUAGGUGAGAGGGAGGUAGAAUUUCAGGUGUAGCGGUGAAAUGCGUAGAGAUCUGAAGGAAUACCGAUGGCGAAGGCAGCCUCCUGGCAUCAUACUGACACUGAGGUUCGAAAGCGUGGGUAGCAAACAGGAUUAGAUACCCUGGUAGUCCACGCCGUAAACGAUGUCUACUAGUCGUUGGGGAACUUGAUUCCUUAGUGACGCAGCUAACGCAAUAAGUAGACCGCCUGGGGAGUACGGCCGCAAGGUUAAAACUCAAAUGAAUUGACGGGGGCCCGCACAAGCGGUGGAGCAUGUGGUUUAAUUCGAUGCAACGCGAAGAACCUUACCUGGUCUUGACAUAUCUAGAAUCCUGCAGAGAUGCGGGAGUGCCUUCGGGAAUUAGAAUACAGGUGCUGCAUGGCUGUCGUCAGCUCGUGUCGUGAGAUGUUGGGUUAAGUCCCGCAACGAGCGCAACCCUUUUCCUUAGUUACCAGCGGUUUGGCCGGGGACUCUAAGGAUACUGCCAGUGACAAACUGGAGGAAGGCGGGGACGACGUCAAGUCAUCAUGGCCCUUACGACCAGGGCUACACACGUGCUACAAUGGUAGGUACAGAGGGCAGCUACACAGCGAUGUGAUGCGAAUCUCAAAAAGCCUAUCGUAGUCCAGAUUGGAGUCUGCAACUCGACUCCAUGAAGUAGGAAUCGCUAGUAAUCGCGGAUCAGAAUGCCGCGGUGAAUACGUUCCCGGGCCUUGUACACACCGCCCGUCACACCAUGGGAGUUGAUUGCACCAGAAGUGGGUAGCCUAACUUUUAGAGGGCGCUCACCACGGUGUGGUUGAUGACUGGGG